rnacentral:rRNA from 1 species
UUAGAGUUUGAUCCUGGCUCAGGAUGAACGCUAGCGGCAGGCUUAACACAUGCAAGUCGAGGGGCAUCGCGGUGUAGCAAUACACUGGCGGCGACCGGCGAAAGGGUGCGUAACACGUGAGCAACAUUCCCGUAUCUGGGAGAUAACCGGUGGAAACGCCGACUAACAUCCCAUAACAACAGGGGGGACAUCCCCUUUGUUUGAAAACUCCGGUGGAUACGGAUUGGCUCGCGUCCCAUUAGCUAGUUGGCGUGGUAACGGCACACCAAGGCGACGAUGGGUAGGGGUUCUGAGAGGAAGGUCCCCCACAUUGGAACUGAGACACGGUCCAAACUCCUACGGGAGGCAGCAGUGAGGAAUAUUGGUCAAUGGACGGAAGUCUGAACCAGCCAUGCCGCGUGCAGGAAUAAGGCCCUAUGGGUCGUAAACUGCUUUUGUGGUGGAGCAAUAAGGCGCACGUGUGCGUCGAUGAGAGUACAUCACGAAUAAGCAUCGGCUAACUCCGUGCCAGCAGCCGCGGUAAUACGGAGGAUGCAAGCGUUAUCCGGAUUUAUUGGGUUUAAAGGGUGCGUAGGCUGUGCUGCAAGUCAGUGGUGAAAGCCCCGGGCCUAACCUGGGAACUGCCAUUGAUACUGCGGUGCUGGAAUACGGAUGCCGUGGGAGGAAUGAGUAGUGUAGCGGUGAAAUGCAUAGAUAUUACUCAGAACACCGAUUGCGAAGGCAUCUCACGAAUCCGUCAUUGACGCUGAGGCACGAAAGCGUGGGGAUCAAACAGGAUUAGAUACCCUGGUAGUCCACGCAGUAAACGAUGAUAACUAACCGUCGGCGAUAGACAGUCGGUGGCCAAGCGAAAGCGAUAAGUUAUCCACCUGGGGAGUACGUUCGCAAGAAUGAAACUCAAAGGAAUUGACGGGGGCCCGCACAAGCAGCGGAGCAUGUGGCUUAAUUCGAUGCAACGCGAAGAACCUUACCUGGAUUUGACAUCGUCGGCAAUGCCCUAUGAAAGUAGGGCGGAGGUUACCCGAUAGACAGGUGCUGCAUGGCUGUCGUCAGUUCGUGCCGUGAGGUGUUUGGUUAAGUCCACCAACGAACGCAACCCCUUUGAUGUGUUGCCAUCAGGUAAUGCUGGGAACUCGCAUCAUACUGCCUGUUUACGCAGGAGGAAGGUGGGGAUGACGUCAAGUCAGUAUGGCCCUUACAUCCAGGGCUGCACACGUGCUACAAUGGCAAGUACAGAGAGAUGCAAUACCGUGAGGUGGAGCUAAACUUCAAAACUUGUCUCAGUUCGGAUUGUAGGCUGAAACUCGCCUACAUGAAGCUGGAGUUACUAGUAAUCGCGAAUCAGCAUGUCGCGGUGAAUACGUUCCCGGGCCUUGUACACACCGCCGGUCAAG